CAUGCNAGUCGUGGGGCAGCGGGUGUAGCAAUACAUGCCGGCGACCGGCGCACGGGUGCGUAACGCGUAUGCAACCUACCUUUAACUGGAGGAUAGCCCCGAGAAAUCGGGAUUAAUACUCCAUAACAUUGCGAAAAGGCAUCUUUUUGCAAUUAAAGCUCAGGCGGUUUUAGAUGGGCAUGCGUGACAUUAGCUAGUUGGUGAGGUGACGGCUCACCAAGGCUACGAUGUCUAGGGGUUCUGAGAGGAUUAUCCCCCACACUGGUACUGAGACACGGACCAGACUCCUACGGGAGGCAGCAGUAAGGAAUAUUGGUCAAUGGACGCAAGUCUGAACCAGCCAUGCCGCGUGACGGAUGACGGCCCUACGGGUUGUAAACUUCUUUUGUACGGGAAAAAACCCCUGAUCGUGUAUCGGGGCUGAUGGUACCGUAAGAAUAAGGAUCGGCUAACUCCGUGCCAGCAGCCGCGGUAAUACGGAGGAUCCAAGCGUUAUCCGGAUUUAUUGGGUUUAAAGGGUGCGUAGGCGGGAUGAUAAGUCAGUGGUGAAAUCCUACAGCUUAACUGUAGAACUGCCAUUGAUACUGUCAACCUUGAGUACAUUUGAAGUGGGCGGAAUGUGUCAUGUAGCGGUGAAAUGCUUAGAUAUGACACAGAACACCGAUAGCGUAGGCAGCUCACUAAACUGUAACUGACGCUGAGGCACGAAAGCGUGGGGAUCAAACAGGAUUAGAUACCCUGGUAGUCCACGCCGUAAACUAUGAUCACUCGAUGUGUGCGAUAUACUGUACGCGUCUGAGCGAAAGCAUUAAG
rnacentral:rRNA from 1 species